UACGUAGGGUGCAAGCGUUAAUCGGAAUUACUGGGCGUAAAGGGCGCGUAGGCGGCCUCCUAAGUCAGACGUGAAAUCCCUCGGCUCAACCGGGGAACUGCGUCUGAUACUGGGAGGCUUGAAUCCGGGAGAGGGAUGUGGAAUUCCAGGUGUAGCGGUGAAAUGCGUAGAUAUUGGGAAGAACACCAGUGGCGUAAGCGUCUUGCUGGGCUGUAACUGACGCCGAGGAACGAAAGCCAGGGUAGCGAAUGGG
rnacentral:rRNA from 1 species